CCAGCUUAUUGCAACCUGUCUCCUCCAAGUUUUAUAUUAAUAGAAAUGUCUCCUCCAAAUUUUGCACGAGCAGCAUGUCUUCACGUUCAGCAAUAAUUUAUAUUAAACUUUUCUCGUUGCCACUGCAGUGGCAGCCCAGCGAUAUCGGAUCGUGGUUUCCGACCAUGCAAUCCAGAUUUGAGUCCUCUGAUGGACAUCGAGGCUCAAUAAAAUACUAGUUCUGAGAUGAUCUGCAAUGAUCUAUUGCUGGCGGCUUGGACAUAAAGUAUGAAAGUAAUAUCUGAUCUGGUGCUGGGGUGACGUGCUCAUCUGUUGGAUUCGUCCAUAUAGUGGAAAAGAGGCAGUUUUUUUUUUUAAAUUCGAUCAUCAACCGUACUCAUCCGUUGAGUUCGUCCAUAUAC
rnacentral:lncRNA from 1 species